GAACCAGGGCUGAUGCAGCUGGAGGCUGGACUUUGGUCCAGAUCGGUUGGCAGGGGUGAGGGUGGCAGGCUGCACAUCCCAGAGCUGGAGGCUAGGUGGCAAUGUGGGCAUGGUGGUGUGCCUGGCAGCCUGCCCCCUUGGCCGCCAUGCCACUCGCUCGGUGGGCCCGUAAGCCUGACUAACUGAUCGCCAAAAUCUCCCUCCAUCAGCACGUUCCCCAGCCGCCGGCCCACAGUAGGGCAGCGGAGCCGCAGCCAGUGAGGAGGAGGAAGAUGAAGACUUUGGAGCGACCCAGCCUGACCAGGUCUGCGGCAGAUAUACCCUCUAACAAGAAAACAGAAUUGGAAAGCUCAGGAGUGUCUAGCCUGGAGAGAAGGAAGAUUAAUGAGGGCUCCUGACAGAAGGAUAAAAAGAAGGAUGUGGAGAAAGCACAUCAGGCACAUCCAUUCACCCUUCUGAGUGUGCAGUAGAGGGGACAUUCAAUCAAACAGUCUGGCAGAGGAAAUAAAAUCAGCUUUUUUCAUUUUUCCUUUCACCCAA